AACGCACAUUGCGCCCGCCAGUAUUCUGGCGGGCAUGCCUGUUCGAGCGUCAUUUCAACCCUCAAGCCCCAGCGGCUUGGUGUUGGGGACCGGCCCCGCGCCGCCCCCGAAAUGCAGUGGCGACCUCGCCGCAGCCUCCCCUGCGUAGUAGCACAAACCUCGCACCGGAGCGCGGAGACGGUCACGCCGUAAAACGCCCAACUUUCUUAGAGUUGACCUCGGAUCAGGUAGGGCUACCCGCUGAACUUAA
rnacentral:misc_RNA from 1 species